CAGGAGCCCUGCGGAGUAAUAUCACACUGCAGAGUAUACACUGACCAUACAGAGGUCAGAUACCAGGUGUACACAGGAGCCCUGCGGAGUAAUAUCACCCUGCAGAGUAUACACUGACCAUACAGAGGUCAGAUACCAGGUGUACACAGGAGCCCUGCGGAGUAAUAUCACCCUGCAGAGUAUACACUGACCAUACAGAGGUCAGAUACCAGGUGUACACAGGAGCCCUGCGGAGUAAUAUCACCCUGCAGAGUAUACACUGACCAUACAGAGGUCCGAUACCAGGUGUACACAGGAGCCCUGCGGAGUA